rnacentral:rRNA from 1 species
CGGUGAUAUAAAUUUAACAGCUGCGGUAUUUUAACUGUACUAAGGUAGCAUAAUAAUUUGCCUUAUAAAUUGAGGCUAGAAUGAAUGGUUUGACGAAGGUUUAUCUGUCUCUAUUUUAUUUAUUAGAAGUUAAUUUUUUAGUGAGAAAGCUAAAAUAUUUUUAAGGGACGAGAAGACCCUAUUGAGCUUGAAUUUAAUUAUAUUAUUUUAAUAAUAUUUUGAUAAAUUUUAAUUGGGGUGAUUAAGGAAUAAAAAUUUAUAUAUUAUGUAGAUAACUUCCUUAAUUAAAUUAUACUGUUAGGUUAAGUAACCAAUAAUAUUGCUUAUAAUAAAGUUACCAUAGGGAUAACAGCGUAAUUUAUUUAGAGAGUUCUUAUUGAAAAAUGAGAUUGCGACCUCGAUGUUGGAUUAAAGUAACCUUAAGGUGCAGAAGCUUUAUAUGGUAAAUCUGUUCGAUUUUUAAAACUUUACGUGAUCUGAGUCCAGACCGGA